AGAUAUCUACCACAGUGUGGAAGAGCUCCUGGGUGUGCUGUAACUAAUCUCUGAUACAGAUGUGCAGACUGUGAGUCUUGCAAUUCAACACUGAUCCAGUGUUUGGGAUGAGGUUAAUCUUCCUCAACAGUAAGGACAAGGGAGAGUUGGAAGACUGACCAACCCUGCCACUACCCACGUCCAGAACCAGGGUUAUGAGUUGACCUACCCUAACAUCUACCCCAUCUGUGAUCUGUUGGAGCUCAUGAAGGGAUCAGUCCUACAGACCAAAAGCUGCAGGAUUUCCAUGACACAGGACUACAGCAGGAUAACCAAAAGGAGUUCCAGUGAGGACCAGCAUCACUAGUGUAGCAGAAACCAGAGGCCUAGAAGCAGACCAAUGACUUUCUGCAAUGAACACAUGCAAGUAAUGACAUAUGGACACAGGGGUUUACUGUGUGACACACUGAGUCUCACCACAGCUUCCAUGACAAGAUUGAUUUUUCCUUCUCUUUUUUCAUCUUUUUUUCUCUUAGACUUUAUUUUAUUUUAGGGAGGAGGUUGCAAGGGAAGAGGGUGAAUACGAAGGGACAGGGAAUUGAAUGGUUUGGAGAUGCAUGAUGUGAAAGCCACAAAGAAUAAAUGAAAAGAAAGAAAGAAAGGUCAGUUCUCCCCCGAUAUAGACUGUGAGCAGAUGAACAGCAAAAGAAUGUAGAUAGCAAAUAAACAUAUAAAAAGUUGCUCAAACUGACUCCUCUUCCAGAGGUCCUGAGUUCAAUUCCCAGCAACCACAUGGUGGAUCACAACCAUCUGUAAGGAGAUCUGGUGCCCUCUUCUGGCUUGCAGGCAGAACACUGUAUACUUAAUAAUAAAUAAAUAAAUAAAUGUUUUAAAAGUUGCUCAACAGGCUGGAGCAACUCCAGCUCAAUGAUUAAAGUACUGGUUGCUCUUGCAGAGGACCUGGGUUUGAUUCCCAGCACCACACG